rnacentral:rRNA from 1 species
GAUGAACGCUGGCGGCGUGCCUAAUACAUGCAAGUCGAGCGAACGGACGAGAAGCUUGCUUUUCUGAUGUUAGCGGCGGACGGGGGAGUAACACGUGGAUAACCUACCUAUAAGACUGGGAUAACUUCGGGAAACCGGAGCUAAUACCGGAUAAUACUUUGAACCGCAUGGUUCAAAAGUGAAAGACGGUCUUGCUGUCACUUAUAGAUGGAUCCGCGCUGCAUUAGCUAGUUGGUAAGGUAACGGCUUACCAAGGCAACGAUGCAUAGCCGACCUGAGAGGGUGAUCGGCCACACUGGAACUGAGACACGGUCCAGACUCCUACGGGAGGCAGCAGUAGGGAAUCUUCCGCAAUGGGCGAAAGCCUGACGGAGCAACGCCGCGUGAGUGAUGAAGGUCUUCGGAUCGUAAAACUCUGUUAUUAGGGAAGAACAUAUGUGUAAGUAACUGUGCACAUCUUGACGGUACCUAAUCAGAAAGCCACGGCUAACUACGUG